rnacentral:rRNA from 1 species
GGUUUGUCGCGUUGUUCGUGAAAACUCACAGCUUAACUGUGGGCGUGCGGGCGAUACGGGCAGACUAGAGUACUGCAGGGGAGACUGGAAUUCCUGGUGUAGCGGUGGAAUGCGCAGAUAUCAGGAGGAACACCGGUGGCGAAGGCGGGUCUCUGGGCAGUAACUGACGCUGAGGAGCGAAAGCGUGGGGAGCGAACAGGAUUAGAUACCCUGGUAGUCCACGCCGUAAACGGUGGGUACUAGGUGUGGGUUCCUUCCUUGGGAUCCGUGCCGUAGCUAACGCAUUAAGUACCCCGCCUGGGGAGUACGGACGCAAGGCUAAAACUCAAAGGAAUUGACGGGGGCCCGAACAAGCGGCGGAGCAUGUGGAUUAGAUCGACGCAACGCGAAGAACCUUACCUGGGUGUGACAUGCACAGGACGCCGGCAGAGAUGUCGGUUCCCUUGUGGCCUGUGUGCAGGUGGUGCAUGGCUGUCGUCAGCUCGUGUCGUGAGAUGUUGGGUUAAGUCCCGCAACGAGCGCAACCCUUGUCCUAUGUUGCCAGCGGGUUAUGCCGGGGACUCGUAGGAGACUGGCGGGGUCAACUCGGAGGAAGGUGGGGAUGACGUCAAGUCAUCAUGCCCCUUAUGUCCAGGGCUUCACACAUGCUACAAUGGCCGGUACAAAGGGCUGCGAUGCCGUGAGGUGGAGCGAAUCCUUUCAAAGCCGGUCUCAGUUCGGAUCGGGGUCUGCAACUCGACCCCGUGAAGUCGGAGUCGCUAGUAAUCGCA